AGCUUAUAUAAUUUAUAAAGGUUGUGACGCAUAAUAAGUCUGGCCUUUCAAUCUUGUUAUUUUUGCCCAUAUGAUAAGUAGGGCGCAAACUGGCCAUGUAUCAGGCUGCUCGGGCUUGGCACCUGCAUACAACGGAGCUGCUCGAGCUUGGCUCCGGUUUGAGCCGAUCUUGGCAUAUCCUGUUCAGGCUUGACUCAUAUAAGCUCUAAGAAAGCUUUGAACAAACUGAGCCAAGCUUCCCUUUAAUUCUACAAUUACACCUGUUCAGGCUUUAAGCCAAGCACCAAAAACUAUUUACAAGCUUCAGCAAUUUGUUCAUCUAGCUUUGCAGACCAUGAUCAUCAUCAAAUGCUAGGAUUUAUGGUGGAUGCAUUGCAGCAAGUAAUGUACAAAGUACUUCGCCUUUACAACUGAACUGAAAUACACUCAAACA
rnacentral:lncRNA from 1 species